CCUACGGGAGGCAGCAGUCGGGAAUAUUGCGCAAUGGAGGAAACUCUGACGCAGUGACGCCGCGUGCAGGAAGAAGGUUUUCGGAUUGUAAACUGCUUUAGACAGGGAAGAUACACGACAGUACCUGUAAAAUAAGCUCAGGCUAUCUACGUGCCAGAAGCCGCGGUAGUACGUAGGGAGCCAGCGUUAUCCGGAUUUAUUGGGUGUAAAGGGUGAGUAGAGGGGAAUGAAAGUUGGUUGUGAAAUCCUUCGGCUUAACUGAGGAACUGCAACCAAAACUAUCUUUCUUGAGUGCUGGAGAGGAAAGUGGAAUUCCUAGUGUAGCGGUGAAAUGCGUAGAUAUUAGGCAGAACACCAGUUGCGAAGGCGACUUUCUGGACAGUAACUGACGUUGAGGCACGAAAGUGUGGGGAGCAAACAGGAUUAGAUACCCGAGUAGUC
rnacentral:rRNA from 1 species